rnacentral:rRNA from 1 species
GACGAACGCUGGCGGCGUGCUUAACACAUGCAAGUCGAACGGAAAGGCCCUGCUUUUGUGGGGUGCUCGAGUGGCGAACGGGUGAGUAACACGUGAGUAACCUGCCCUUGACUUUGGGAUAACUUCAGGAAACUGGGGCUAAUACCGGAUAGGAGCUCCUGCUGCAUGGUGGGGGUUGGAAAGUUUCGGCGGUUGGGGAUGGACUCGCGGCUUAUCAGCUUGUUGGUGGGGUAGUGGCUUACCAAGGCUUUGACGGGUAGCCGGCCUGAGAGGGUGACCGGCCACAUUGGGACUGAGAUGCGGCCCAGACUCCUACGGGAGGCAGCAGUGGAGAAUAUUGCACAAUGGGCGGAAGCCUGAUGCAGCAACGCCGCGUGCGGGAUGACGGCCUUCGGGUUGUAAACCGCUUUCGCCUGUGACGAAGCGUGAGUGACGGUAAUGGGUAAAGAAGCACCGGCUAACUACGUG